rnacentral:rRNA from 1 species
GACGUAGGGGACGAGCGUUGUCCGGAUUCAUUGGGCGUAAAGCGCGCGUAGGCGGCCCGGUAAGUCCGUUGUGAAAGUCAAAGGCUCAACCUUUGAACGCCGAUGGAUACUGCCGGGCUAGAGUCCGGAAGAGGCGAGUGGAAUUCCUGGUGUAGCGGUGGAAUGCGCAGAUAUCAGGAGGAACACCAAUAGCGAAGGCAGCUCGCUGGGACGGUACUGACGCUGAGGCGCGAAAGCGUGGGGAGCGAACAGG